rnacentral:rRNA from 1 species
GAUGUUUAGGGGAUCUGAGAGGAUGACCCCCCACACUGGUACUGAGACACGGACCAGACUCUACGGGAGGCAGCAGUAAGGAAUAUUGGUCAAUGGGCGGAAGCCUGAACCAGCCAUGCCGCGUGCAGGAAGACGGCCCUAUGGGUUGUAAACUGCUUUUGUACCGGAAUAAACCUCACUACGUGUAGUGAGCUGAAUGUACGGUAAGAAUAAGGAUCGGCUAACUCCGUGCCAGCAGCCGCGGUAAUACGGAGGAUCCAAGCGUUAUCCGGAUUUAUUGGGUUUAAAGGGUGCGUAGGCGGCCUGUUAAGUCAGGGGUGAAAGACGGUAGCUCAACUAUCGCAGUGCCUUUGAUACUGACGGGCUUGAAUGCAGCUGAGGUAGGCGGAAUGUGACAAGUAGCGGUGAAAUGCAUAGAUAUGUCACAGAACACCGAUUGCGAAGGCAGCUUACUAAAGUGUGAUUGACGCUGAGGCACGAAAGCGUGGGGAUCAAACAGGAUUAGAUACCCUGGUAGUCCACGCCCUAAACGAUGAAUACUCGAUGUUGGCGAUAUACGGUCAGCGUCUAAGCGAAAGCGUUAAGUAUUCCACCUGGGGAGUACGCCCGCAAGGGUGAAACUCAAAGGAAUUGACGGGGGCCCGCACAAGCGGAGGAGCAUGUGGUUUAAUUCGAUGAUACGCGAGGAACCUUACCCGGGCUUGAAAGUUAGUGAAUGAGGCAGAGACGUCUCAGUCCUUCGGGACACGAAACUAGGUGCUGCA